AUUGAACGCUGGCGGCAUGCCUUACACAUGCAAGUCGAACGGUAACAGGUCUUCGGAUGCUGACGAGUGGCGAACGGGUGAGUAAUACAUCGGAACGUGCCUAGUAGUGGGGGAUAACUACUUGAAAGAGUGGCUAAUACCGCAUGAGAUCUACGGAUGAAAGCAGGGGAUCGCAAGACCUUGUGCUACUAGAGCGGCCGAUGGCAGAUUAGGUAGUUGGUGGGAUAAAAGCUUACCAAGCCGACGAUCUGUAGCGGGUCUGAGAGGACGAUCAGCCACACUGGGACUGGGACACGGCCCAGACUCCUACGGGAGGCAGGAGUGGGGAAUUUUGGACAAUGGGCGCAAGCCUGAUCCAGCAAUGCCGCGUGCAGGAUGAAGGCCUUCGGGUUGUAAACUGCUUUUGUACGGAACGAAAAGCCCUGGGUUAAUACCCUGGGGUCAUGACGGUACCGUAAGAAUAAGCACCGGCUAACUACGUGCCAGCAGCCGCGGUAA
rnacentral:rRNA from 1 species